rnacentral:rRNA from 1 species
AUUGAACGCUGGCGGCAUGCUUAACACAUGCGAGUCGAACGGAAACAGCAAGAGCUUGCUCUUGGCUGUCGAGUGGCGGACGGGUGAGUAACGCGUGGGAAUCUACCCAGUAGUGGAGGAUAGCCCAGAGAAAUUUGGAUUAAUACUGCAUACGAUCUACGGAUGAAAGGUGGCCUCUCCUUGGAAGCCAUCGCUAUUGGAUGAGCCCGCGUUAGAUUAGCUAGUUGGUGGGGUAAAGGCCUACCAAGGCGACGAUCUAUAGCUGGUCUGAGAGGACGACCAGCCACAUCGGGACUGAGACACGGCCCGGACUCCUACGGGAGGCAGCAGUGGGGAAUAUUGGACAAUGGGCGCAAGCCUGAUCCAGCAAUGCCGCGUGUGUGAAGAAGGCCUGAGGGUUGUAAAGCACUUUCAAUUGUGAAGAAGAUUAUAAGUUUAAUAAACUUGUGGUUUGACGUUAACUUUAGAAGAAGCACCGGCUAACUCUGUGCCAGCAGCCGCGGUAAUACAGAGGGUGCGAGCGUUAAUCGGAAUUACUGGGCGUAAAGCGCGCGUAGGCGGUUAUUUAAGUCAGAUGUGAAAUCCCAGGGCUCAACCUUGGAACUGCAUCUGAUACUGGGUAACUAGAGUUUAGGAGAGGGAAGUAGAAUUUCAGGUGUAGCGGUGAAAUGCAUAGAGAUCUGAAGGAAUACCAGUGGCGAAGGCGACUUCCUGGCCUAAAACUGACGCUGAGGUGCGAAAGCGUGGGUAGCAAACGGGAUUAGAUACCCCGGUAGUCCACGCCGUAAACGAUGUCUACUAGUUGUUGGUCCCCUUGAGGGAUUAGUAACGCAGCUAACGCAUUAAGUAGACCGCCUGGGGAGUACGGUCGCAAGACUAAAACUCAAAGGAAUUGACGGGGGCCCGCACAAGCGGUGGAGCAUGUGGUUUAAUUCGAUGCAACGCGAAGAACCUUACCAUCCCUUGACAUCCGGAGAAUUUGUGAGAGAUCACUUAGUGCCUUCGGGAACUCCGUGACAGGUGCUGCACGGCUGUCGUCAGCUCGUGUCGUGAGAUGUUGGGUUAAGUCCCGCAACGAGCGCAACCCCUAUCCUUGGUUGCUAACAGGUAAUGCUGAGAACUCCAGGGAGACUGCCGGUGACAAACCGGAGGAAGGUGGGGACGACGUCAAGUCAUCAUGGCCCUUAUGGGAUGGGCUACACACGUGCUACAAUGGUCGGUACAGAGGGUCGCAAACUCGCGAGAGUAAGCUAAUCCCAGAAAGCCGGUCGUAGUCCGGAUUGGAGUCUGCAACUCGACUCCAUGAAGUUGGAAUCGCUAGUAAUCGUGGAUCAGAAUGCCACGGUGAAUACGUUCCCGGGCCUUGUACACACCGCCCGUCACACCAUGGGAGUGGGCUGCAAAAGAAGUAGGUAGACUAACCUUCGGGAAGUCGCUUACCACUUUGUGGUUCAUGACUGGGGUG